rnacentral:rRNA from 1 species
UACGUAGGGUGCAAGCGUUGUCCAGAAUUAUUGGGCGUAAAGAGCUCGUAGGCGGUUUGUCGCGUCUGCCGUGAAAGUCCGGGGCUCAACUCCGGAUCUGCGGUGGGUACGGGCAGACUAGAGUGAUGUAGGGGAGACUGGAAUUCCUGGUGUAGCGGUGAAAUGCGCAGAUAUCAGGAGGAACACCGAUGGCGAAGGCAGGUCUCUGGGCAUUAACUGACGCUGAGGAGCGAAAGCAUGGGGAGCGAACAGG